GAAAUGCGAUAAGUAAUGUGAAUUGCAGAAUUCAGUGAAUCAUCGAAUCUUUGAACGCACAUUGCGCCCGCCAGUAUUCUGGCGGGCAUGCCUGUUCGAGCGUCAUUACAACCCUCAGGCCCCCGGGCCUGGCGUUGGGGAUCGGCGGAAGCCCCCUGCGGGCACAACGCCGUCCCCCAAAUACAGUGGCGGUCCCGCCGCAGCUUCCAUUGCGUAGUAGCUAACACCUCGCAACUGGAGAGCGGCGCGGCCACGCCGUAAAACACCCAACUUCUGAAUGUUGACCUCGAAUCAGGUGGGAAUACCCGCUGAACUUAAGC
rnacentral:misc_RNA from 1 species